UACCAGCUCUCCGAGUGGUGUGGAUGUUUAUUGGGCCUAAAGCAUCCGUAGCUGGCCAAGUUAGUCCCCUGUUAAAUCCACCGAAUUAAUCGUUGGAGUGCGGGGGAUACUGCUCGGCUAGGGGACGAGAGAGGCCGACGGUAUUUUCGGGGUAGGGGUGAAAUCCUAUAAUCCCGGGAAGACCACCAGUGGCGAAGGCUGUCGGCUAGAACGCGCCCGACGGUGAGGGAUGAAAGCUGGGGGAGCGAACCGGAUUAGAUACCCGGGUAGUCCCAGCUGUAAACGAUGCAGGCUAGGUGUUUGGGCGGCCACGGGCCGCUCUAGCGCCGCAGGGAAGCUGUUAAGCCUGCCGCCUGGGGAGUACGGCCGCAAGGCUGAAACUUAAAGGAAUUGGCGGGGGAGCACCACAAGGGGUGAAGCUUGCGGUUU
rnacentral:rRNA from 1 species